UUCUACUUGAAUAAAGAAAUCAGUCAGGAAUUGCCCAGCAACAUGAGGCUAUAAAUAGAACCGUCUGUUCUUCACGCGUGUAAUUCUGAUUCACGUGAGAAGAAACAAGGGAAUCUGGCUUCGUAGAUAUAAAACAGUUUUGUUUCCGCUUUGGUUUGUAUGCCGACGAUGCCGUUGCGGCAGGCCCUGGACCAUCCUUGCAAAUAGCCACCUUUGCUCCCGUCCCCUAGCAGUGUCUGUCCGUCGCUGCAAUUGCAGUUCAAAUUGUUGGCCGGAUUGUUUGCCCCGGAUCGUCGUUCCAGUUGUAAUUGGCACGAUGUUAAGAAUCUGCCAGACCGGCAAAAAUGUGGCUGACCCGAAAUCCCAGAAUCUCGACUAAUGAAAUCAAAACAUUCACAUUAGAUCCAUAGUACAAACCUGCAAUUAAAAUCUAAUUGAACACUCACGUUCCUGGAGGCGAGGUAAUCCUACUUCCACGUGUGCAAAUGAAAACAAUGGUCACAAGUCUUCUAGCACUUAAAUCCUCAAAUGCCAAUCGAAAUCCAACGGCCUUUUGACCUCGGG